AACACUUAUGAGUAUUGAGAUAGUGUCCUAGAGGAGAAUCCCAGAGGACAUGCUGAUAUUCCACUAUUUAAUUUGGGCAGUGAGCAUGACGAAGGUAAUAGACGCAGAAUUGCUACAAUCUCUCUGCUGCUUUGAAAAUGAGGAAAUGGUGGGGGAAAGAAGCUUGCUAAGGAUCAUGAAGAGGGCUGCACAAGACCACAAAGUGUUCCCCUCUUAGACGGCUCUGCUGUAUCCAUCCUGGAAAUCAUACUGAGAUCAGACCAGCAGGAUCCUGUCCCCGAGGACAAGGGAAGGAAUGCUGCCUCCUAGUGGGAGAGAAAGGAAAAGGAGAGAGAGCCAUCAGCAACAAGCUGGAGGAGAAUCUCAGAUCCUAGAUUGAAAUAUAGUCUCUGCUCUUCCCUGCUUUUGAGGGAUCUGACUCUAUACAAGAUAUACCCAAGAUCUCUUUCUAAAGCUGUCAAGAGAAUUAAAUGAGAUCAACCAUGAAAAGCAUGCUGCAAAGCUUCUGGAAUGUAGGAAGUACUAAAUAAAAGGCACCUGUUUUGAUGAUGAUGUAGAUGAUGAUGAUGAUGUUUUCGAUGACGACAAUGAUGACGAUGACGAUUCUGGUAACUAUGAUUAAUUAAUUAAGUAUGAUUCAGAGACAAUCCAAAGAAUCUUCAGUCCCUUCCUCAGCCAAGUACGUCAUCCUUACACUUUGCUGCUGUUUUUCUGGAGGUUGAAUACUGCCCAGUGCUAUGCUUGGGACACCUAAUCUCGGUUGAGAAUCCCUUGAUGAUCUCUACUUCUUCAUUCCUGUAGUUGUUUUGAGCAGUAUCCAUGGAGGAUGGAUGAGGACUUUCUUUUCUUUUCUUUUUUUUUUCUAGUGACUGAUAAACUCUUCGAGGUUUAUCAUGAUGGUGUCAGCGUUUCUAGGAGCUCAGAGACUUUGCUAUGAGAAUGUGACCCUCCUGCAUCUUUCAAAACCUAGCCAGGAGCCCUUUUUCUGUUGGUGUGCUUUUUUUACCCCAUUCUUCACUUCACUUACCUGAUUUUCUUCAUUCCUGUCUCUAUGAAAAUUUAGUGAGAAAACUGCCUUCUCUUUGGAGGAGUCUAAUCUGGAUAUUCUGUGCUACCAUGGGGACAGAAGGCCUAAAGCUCACUUGGGGGGCCAUGCAGUAGGCUCAAUGCCAGCAUCAUAGCAUUGUUCCAAUGUUCCACCCAACUCUGACUUUGCUGACCUGUAAUAUUUGCAAGUGAAGAAACUCUGUUUUUCUCAUUCAAAAAGUGCAUCUCGGGCUGGG